AGUGAACGCUGGCGGUAGGCCUAACACAUGCAAGUCGAACGGCAGCACAGUAAGAGCUUGCUCUUACGGGUGGCGAGUGGCGGACGGGUGAGGAAUACAUCGGAAUCUACUUUUUCGUGGGGGAUAACGUAGGGAAACUUACGCUAAUACCGCAUACGACCUACGGGUGAAAGCAGGGGAUCUUCGGACCUUGCGCGAUUGAAUGAGCCGAUGUCGGAUUAGCUAGUUGGCGGGGUAAAGGCCCACCAAGGCGACGUUCCGUAGCUGGUCGGAGAGGAUGAUCAGCCACACUGGAACUGAGACACGGUCCAGACUCCUACGGGAGGCAGCAGUGGGGAAUAUUGGACAAUGGGCGCAAGCCUGAUCCAGCCAUACCGCGUGGGUGAAGAAGGCCUUCGGGUUGUAAAGCCCUUUUGUUGGGAAAGAAAAGCAGCAGGUUAAUACCCCGCUGUUCUGACGGUACCCAAAGAAUAAGCACCGGCUAACUUCGUG
rnacentral:rRNA from 1 species